UCUUUCUAGAAACACUUUCCAGUACCUCUACUUUGUUACGACUUAUUUCAAUUUAUCUAUGAAAGCGACGGGCAAUAUGUACAUAUUUUAAUUUUUAAUCAUUUUAAUAAAUUAAAUAAAAUUACAUUUAAAUCCACCUUUAUUUAAAUAUUACAAAAUAAAAUCCAUUUAAAUAAAUUUAUUGUAAUCCAUUAUAUUCUUAAUUAUAAUCUGCAUCUUGAUUUGAUUUAAUUUUUAAUUAUUAAUUUUAAAAUAUUAUUAAUUAUUAAAAAAUAUUUUUUUAACAACGAUAUACAAAAUAAUAAAUUAAGUAAAUUUAUUCGUGGAUUAUCAAUUAAUAAACAGAUUCCUCUAAAUAAACUAAAAUACCGCCAAAACAUUUAAGUUUCAAUAAAUAAUUAUAUACUAUUUUAG
rnacentral:rRNA from 1 species